UCAAGCUAAGGACCAAGCUGCAAGUGUCUGCUCUUCCGAAUCACCUCAGAUCUGUUGUGCUGUUAUUGAUAGCACGCUGUUAGAUAGCAGUGUGGUUCUGUGUCGCUCUCAGUGAAGGGCUGAAGGUUUGCAAAAGGUGGGAAAGGUAACCGGAGCUCUUUUUGACAUAGAGUCCAUUUGGAGACCUCAGAGCUAAAUGGAAAAUGCAGGACAAGAGAGAGAGCAAGUUCCCCUUCAACAGAUUUUGUAUCCCUGCAUUUGGAAGACGGAAGCAAAUCAAGAUCCCUUGGCGAGGACUAAUUAUAGCGUUCACCUUUGGAUUGACACAUGGAGCUAAGAUGGGUCUGGAGGUGUUCAGGGAUGGAGAAGACUUUGAUGACUUGCUCAGCUCUGCCUGACACCUGUAUGGGGGAUACUAUCUCUCCUCUCUUCCUGGGGCUCAUGCAGGCCAGGCUGGCUUCAAACUCACUAUGCAGUACAUGUGAGGGCUAAUCUUGGUUGUCAACUUGGUUACAUCUGGAUGCAAUUAAAACCCAAAGAGCUGGGUACAGCCACGAGGGAUUUUCUCAACUGGAUCACUUGAUGUGGGAAGAUCCACACUAAAUUUGGAUCAUUUGAAGUGUGAAGACCAUUCCAAAUCUGGGUUACAUCUUCUGGUGGCAGCCCCCACACAGGAUACGAAAGAAGGAAGCUUUUGGGGCUGGAGAGAUGGCUCAGCGGUUAAGAGUCCAGGCUGCUCUUCCCGAGGUCCUGAGUUCAAUUCCCAGCAACCACAUGAUGGCUCACAACCAUCUAUAAUGAGAUCUGGCUCCCUCUUCUGGCCUGCAGGCAUGCAUCCAGACAGAAUGUUGUAUACAUAAUAAAUAAAUCUAAAAAAAAAAAAAAGAAGCUGGCUGCAUCUUCAAAAUGCCUGAUAUCAUGUGUGUGCUCAGAUGAAUGUGCUCAUGUGUAUACGUGCAGACGCCAGGGGACAGCAAUUUCCGACC